CCUGCUCUUAGAAGCACUGCAGAUGCAGCUUCUGUGUCCCACGUGCAUUAGUAGAUGGCAGAGAGGAAAAAGGCUAUGUAUAUGGCCAGUCUUCUAACCUAUGACCAUAUGGAUGGUUAGUUACCUAACAGU